rnacentral:lncRNA from 1 species
GUAGCCCGAAUCUGUGGUUUGGCUGGAGCGUAGAUCCCCGGAUCGGAGGGAGGAAGGAGGAGGUUGCAGCCUGGUGCACAGGCCGUCGGAGUCGCGGGGCUCUGGCCAUGGGCGCUCCAAGGUGUCCGUCAAGGCCAGCAAAAAUGACGUCAGAAAAAUAUUUCCCCGGAUCCAGGAGUUCUUCAACGCAAAUCCUGGCAGCGUUUCUGUCUACGGUUUGGAAAAUACUCAGCCCUCUGCUCAGGUUGUCCACGGUGCCACCGCCUUGCCGGGCCGUAUGGAAGGUAGACUCCUUGCGUGCUGUCCCUCGGGAAUGACGCAGCCCACCGGUCCAUGGGACACGUCUCGGGCGAGGACAAAUCUCCCUCCYGAGAUCUCCUGAUCUUCUUUGGCCAACUCUGGAAGACGCUCAGCUGCGGGGAAGCCAGCUGAAGACAGGAAGGCUGUUUCCCGGGAACCGCAGAUGGGCAUGGACGGCUGCCUGAGCCGGUUCAGACGCUGCUGAUCUCCGCGGCUGCRUGAUUUUGCAAUCUGCUUCCUGGAAAGAGCAGCAAGGCAAAGGCACUGGGAUUGCUGGAGGCUCCUGCUUACGGACAGUUGUCCGUGUGGUYUUGGCCGCUGGAUCUCGAGGUCUGCAGGCUGCGUGAGUGCCACCUGCACCACUUUCCUGACCCGCUCCCGCACACCAUGGCUGUGCCAUGACCUGGCACCGGGCUGCUCUCGGCUGCAGGUCCCAGAGCUGCCUGAGAAGUUGGUCCCACCAUCGAGCUGCUGGCGAGCAGCAAUGAGCUCUUGGCCCAAGGGUCUUACGAGGAGUCAAGCGAAAGCCCAACAAGACGCUCUCUAGCCAUUCGCGCCUGUACCCUGUCUCCUCUGGACUUUUGGCUCUUCCAUCAAGGCCGGGGUGCUGAUGUCUCUUAAGGUGAAUCCAGCCCCACCAGUGCCUGGAGCCAUAAGCACUCAGUAUUUAUAUUUGGAAAGGUCUCCGGCAUCAYCUGGAAAAAGCCCAGUCCAGAGAGCAUCAACCCAGCAUGCACUGGAAAAAGACGCCAUCCCACGUUACCUGCUGAUGUGUUUGCUCCCGUCCCGAGGCACACGCAAGAAAUUCAAGGUCCUUGAUCGCCCUGGGAAGAGAAGGUGUUUGCUUUACACAAGCCUCAGGGUAAGAGCCUUUGCGCAGGCACUUUGCUCCCGGGAUUUGCCCUGCCACUGCCUAAGGCUGGCUGUGCCCUUCUGCAAGGUGAGGCUGAGCCCACGGAGCCCUCCGGCUCCCCGUCGCCUUCCCCAAGGUCCCUAUUUCUGCCCUUUGCGGACAACCUGGUGUUGCCAAAGGUGGGGAGUCGCACCGGCUCCGUGUAAAGCUGGCAGGAUCCCGAGGGCGUGCUGCGACCUCACCAAAUCCUCCCCUACGCUCCAGGCCCAAAGCUCCGGCGUUGCUCGUUGUUCCUGUCUCCUGUGUCCUCGGACUGUGCAAUGCCUGCUGCCCCUGCAUGUCCAGGAGCCCUCAAACCCGUCCCAGGAGGCAGAGCAGCCCUGCCUCCACCGGCGCAGGGCAGCGGCAGCCAGCACGGCUCCCCCUGGGAAUGCAAAGCUCUGA